AAAAACUAAGUUGAAUUAGUCCAACUAGUCUGAUGCGUAGGGAUAGGAGGAGCCCACUAUCUCAUCAUGAAUUACUAAAGACUAAACUUAAAUCAAAUGAUUAUAUAGCUAUGUGGCGAUUCAUGAGCUAUUUAAGGACUUAGUAGAGUACUGACUUGUAUUUGUUAUAGAAUAUAUAGUUAGCAAUUAGUUCAAGUAGGAUAUAUAUAAAGAGGGAAUAUUUAAGGAUAUGAAUUUGUUAGUAGCUAAGGGUACACGUGUUUGGCUCACUUGAAGAGUAGAUGUCAUCAACCAACAAUACUAGCUAAGAUUAAGUUCACGAUACCCUCUAUCAGGUGCAUGGAGAUUCUUUUUCUCUUUGGUUAGUUAUCUUCACCCGGAGUAAAACUAGGAACCUAGCUAUACAUUAGUGUAUUUAAAUUUUAAUAUUGUUAACCAUAGUUAAGGAUGAGCCGGGUACUUUGGACGUGACCCUAAGACUAUAAAUAUGCAUCAUAUUCUAUACUUUGUUGACACUAUUUUCACUUCUACUCAAGAUUUCUCAGAACCCAUUUACAAUUAUUCUCUACUUCACAUGUUCAUCUAUUGCCUUCUUUCCUUUGCUAAAUAUUUUGGCUAGUCACCAUCAUAUAUCACCACAUAUAUAUACCUCCAUCCUCCUUUUAUAUAUAUAUGAUAUAUAUAUAUAUAUAUAUAUAUCUCUGAUUGUAUCGGUAUCACCAUUACUCUCACACCACUAAAAUAGUGUCAAGAUCUUUAUUAUUGUUCUCCUCUUCAAAGUAUUGGGGUGUUUUCACAAGGCUCAGGUAUAACUUAUAGUCUCAUCCAUAUUUCAAUUAGACGCUAAAUUAUUUGUUGUUAUGGACUAUAUAGGGUAAUAGAUUUGAAGUUAAGCUUUAAAUAAUUUAUCCCUAUAUUAUGUUCUAAUUAAAGAAUAUGAAAAACUAGAUUUUUAGUACAAGACAAUUGGUUCUUAAGGAUCACUCUCAUUGCAAUCAAGGCUAGGACUCCACAUUCGAGACCAAAGUAACUGAAAGUCUAGAAUGCCGGUGGCGAGUGGAACUUUGGACGCUUGUGUGUGAACUCGCUGAGGACCAUAUAACUGAGGGCGGUCUAGGGCGCUCUAUUUAUUUAUUUACGCUAUUAAGUUUAUGUCGCAAUUAUUUUAGUUAUUAUUUAUUAUGUCUUUUGUACGAAAACUGGCCAAUUGUGAACAUUUUCAAGUAUUAAAUAAAAAUGCGACAUUAUGUUUUUCCGCGUUUAACGCUUGUAAAUAAAAUUAAUAUUUUUAUAAAAGUACGGGCGUUACAUU